rnacentral:rRNA from 1 species
AUACGGAGGGUGCAAGCGUUAUCGGGAAUCAUUGGGUUUAAAGGGUCCGCGGGCGGAUUAAUAAGUCAGUGGUGAAAUCCUCUCGCUCAACGAGAGAACUGCCAUUGAAACUGUUAGUCUUGAAUUCGGUCGAAGUAGGCGGAAUGUGUCAUGUAGCGGUGAAAUGCAUAGAUAUGACACAGAACACCGAUAGCGAAGGCAGCUUACUAGACCUGGAUUGACGCUCAUGGACGAAAGCGUGGGGAGCGAACAGGAUUAGAAACCCUAGUAGUCC